CUGGCUCAGAUUGAACGCUGGCGGCGUGCUUAACACAUGCAAGUCGAACGCGAAAGGGACUUCGGUCCUGAGUAA
rnacentral:rRNA from 1 species